GCACAGCCGACGACUGUCUGAUACACAAACACAGCCUUAGUGCCGCUUUGGCUGUAGAAGAGUUCACAUCGCACGAUUCGUGUAUUUUCGACACACUAGUUCAGAUAUGGAUUUUUCAACAACUAAUCACGGUAAGCCAUGUUGCCACUACGGAGGUUAUUCUUACACAGUGAAGAGAACUAAAGAAGAUGGAACAGUAACGUGGCGCUGUUCAAGACAGAGAGCAAACCAAUGCCGAGGAAUGCUGAAAACGGAGUCGACAGUGCUUUUUUUCAUUCGAGCAUCAAUGUGGACCUCUGGAUGUCGCUUGGUUGGAAGUAAGGAAGACUUUGAUCACGCAAAGAAGAGGGCAAGAGACGAAGAGACGUCUAUUUCAAAAAUAUAUUCAGAGGAGCUGGGUUGCCUGCAUAAUCGAGGCUAUGAUUUUGUCACUGAAACGCCAGAGCAGCAAACAACGAAGAGAGCUUUGUACUGCCAGCGGGCAAAAUCACAGGGAAAUGAGAGAGAUCCACCGACAAGAGAAGACAUUGACUUAAGGCAGAUUUACUAGCUGUGAACGAUGGCAGCAGUUUUCUGUUAAGCGACGACAAACUAGGAGAGAGGACAAUAGUGUUUUUAGCGGAAGGGCAGGAAGAGAGGCUCUAAGGAGUAAACAAGACUUUUUUUAUAGAUGGUACGUUAGAGUGCGCAGCAAACAGUUUUCGCAAAUAUACACCAUUCACGCCGACUUUGGGAGUACAAAUAUUGAGACAAACAUCUAUCCAGUUGCCUUUGCACUACUGCCAAACAAAAGAAAAGAGACGUACGUCCGUCUUUUCUGAAAUUUGAUGGAAAAAAUUCCCAGAAUGGAAACCUGCAAACGUGACCGUAGACUUCGAAUCAGUUGCGAUUACAGCAAUUAAAGCUGUAUUGGAUGUUAUUUCCAUAUGAAAAAGUGUCUCUGGAGAAAAGUUAGAGAGCUAGGACUUCCUCGUGAAUACAAAGAAAACGAAGUGAGACAUGUUAGCAUGUGUGCUGCGCUGGCGUUUCUACGGCCUGUAGAUGUAUGCGAUGGUUGGCUGGAAAUACAUUCACAUGCACCGGAUAUCCCCAAACUUUCUGUAUUUUUUGACUACUACGUAGAUAGAUGGUUGGAAAAGGAAGACACCCCCAUCAGCCUUUGAAGUUGCUACAGACUGCGCCACCGAACAACCAACGCUGUACGAAGUUGGCACCACAAAAUUAAUAACAUGCUUGCUAAACCAAAUCCGAAAAUUAAUGACGUUAUUAGGUGUUUGAAAAGAGAAGCAGGAAAUUCAGCGUGCGCGUUAAUGGGGGCAGAACUGAGUAUGGAAGGUAAACGGAAAAAACACGUCCACAUGAAACGUGAUGAAAGGUUGGGAAAAUAGAAAAAACUUUCGAAGAGGAUGGUGAUAUCAAGGCUUUCCUGAAAGCCAUAUCCUACGUACAGAAACUUCACUGAGUUUAUCAGAAGAUGUAUAUAGAGACAAUAGUGUUCAAAUGACACUGAUGAUGCUUCCCAAAUAAAUGAAGCUAAAUCCGAAUGGCAACAAACUGCCUUCAUUUAGUUGCAUAGACGGUACAUACCUUCACGAAUCUGUACAGAUGUUGCUGGAGUUCAGGUAUAUGUGUGGAAAUCCAACACCUACAUCUGUAGCCAUAUGGCUCGGUUUGUCAUCACGAUGUGAGUGUUCAACAAUAUUUUUUCAGAAAAGGUGGGGACUUCAAUGCUGUGGUUGACAACAGUGAUGAUGGUGACAAUGAUGAUGAUCAUGUCGAUGUUUGUGCCAUCAAAACAUGAAUUUUUAAGUAAUUAACAAUAAACUGGUGUAAUGUUAACA